rnacentral:lncRNA from 1 species
GAAAAAGUGCAGCCUAUACAGCUGUGAGAAAGUCCAAGACCUUCAAAUUUACAGCAAGUACCUACAGCUUCAUGGUAGAAAUUCUGGGAGAGUUAAGAAGUCAGAUCCUGGCUUGCAAAUGUAUGUUGUCUGUUUGAGGAAAGUGAGAGUGCCCCUCUGUGUUGGAAUCAUGGAGACGAUGCAGAGAAACAGCACACUCCUGAAUGUUCUCUCCACCCAGCAGAGAAAACUGUAGAUCCAGGUCCAUUCAGAUUGCUAACUUGGGGAAAGAAUGCUCCCUUUCCCCCAGCAGUAUGUGGUGUGAAAGAAUGAAUGUAACCUGUUGUUUAGGGAAUGUUACUAGCCAUUAGGAAGAAGGAGAUAUGAGUGAAUUUAGAAGAUGCAAAAGAUGCAAUGAGAUUUGGUCCAAAAGCCGCUGAUUGAAUUGCAGAAAGCACCCAGCAGGCUAGAGACAGACCUAAGGCAUGGCCGGUACAUGUAUUAUUUGAGCUUUUAAUUUUAAUGUAAUUUGGAAAGAUAUGUAUGUAUGGAACUCCAUCUCAACUUACUACAGUUUUUGUCUUGCUGUUCCACUCAUUUAUGACACCUGUUCUCUUGUCAUUUGACCUGUCCUUGAUUUAAAUAG